GUGGGGAAUAUUGGACAAUGGGCGCAAGCCUGAUCCAGCCAUGCCGCGUGGGUGAAGAAGGCCUUCGGGUUGUAAAGCCCUUUUGGCGGGGACGAUGAUGACGGUACCCGCAGAAUAAGCCCCGGCUAACUUCGUGCCAGCAGCCGCGGUAAGACGAAGGGGGCAAGCGUUGUUCGGAAUUACUGGGCGUAAAGGGCGCGUAGGCGGCCUGAUAAGUCAGACGUGAAAGGCCUGGGCUCAACCUGGGAAUUGCGUUUGGGACUGUUGGGCUGGAGAGCGGGAGAGGAUGGUGGAAUUCCCAGUGUAGAGGUGAAAUUCGUAGAUAUUGGGAAGAACACCGGUGGCGAAGGCGGCCAUCUGGACCGUAUCUGACGCUGAGGCGCGAAAGCGUGGGGAGCAAACAGGAUUAGAAACCCUGGUAGUCC
rnacentral:rRNA from 1 species